ACAUAAAUGAAUAGUUACAACCUUUUCUCUCAGAUUUUCGAGGCCAAAACGGCCACUUUCUUGAAUAAAAUAAAAAAAAAUAUUUAACGAAGUUAAAUAAAAUCUCAUAUGCUUAAACCAAGGAAAAAAAAACAAAUCUCUUAUAACAAGGACAUUGACAAAUGUCCAGAUUUUGGUAGCUUUACACGUCAUACGACCGGUUAGGGGACAAACCCUAAAUCCAGAAAAAGUCUCUCUCUCAACCGCAGUUCUUCGACAAAACCAUGGACAACCAAUCGGUGAUACGUCACGCUGAUGGUAAGACAUGUGUGUUUUGGGAUGUAGAGGAUUACCCAAUCCCAGAUGGUAUUGAUCCUGCUUCGUUUUAUCUCGAUAUCCAAGAGGCUUUUAAGAAGCGGUUGUGAUAGGGAUGUGUCAAUCCAUGCUUACAUUGAUAAAUGUUCCGAUGAAUUGCGACGUGAAUAUGAGGAUGCUGGGUUCCAUAUCGAAUUCAUUCCCCUAGGGGGUAAAGAUGCGAGAAUUCGUAGCAUGUUUUUGGACAUGCUCUUGUGGGCAUUUGAAAGUCCUACACCAACAAAUGUGAUUUUACUCGCAAAAAACAUCGGAGAUGAAAUUGGUAAUCUUCUUUGUAGUUUGGAUAUCAGACGUCAUGGUAUUCUCUCAUCCCAAACUCAACCACGAUGGCAAAUUCCUAGUGAAAGGCAUACAUGGUUUUUGACUAGCCUAUUCGAUGGCCCUAACGGAAGCUCACAACGUCUUGACAAUAAGAAGACAUAUCCAAGGGAGAUUUGAUGUUUGGUUUCCAUAUAUAUGUAACGUGUUUAUUGUCUAUGAUUUUUAUGUGUUCUAACAUUAACAUGUAUUUCUCUCUUUUUUCUUGAUAUUGUCGACCAUUCCAUUUGCCUUCGUCACUGAAUUUGUUUUACUGUGGUUGCUGAAAACUGAAAAUUGGGAUUCGAGUUUUUCUUUGUAAUUUUCUUUUGGUUUCAAUCAUCCGAAAGCUGAAGCUAGAAAAUACGAGGAGUGGUUUGAAAAGAAAUCGCUGUGACUCCAAUUUUGAAUCAGGGAAGAGAUCCUCUAUAUAACGCUAGAGACUCGAGGGCUGAUUCAGCUUACGGAUCAAAGAAAUGGAGGGAGGAUCGAUACCAGCGAAAACUAUAUGCCAAAGCGGCUAAAACGUUUUCGAACACCAUUGAAGAUUUGAUGUCCGAAGGUCAUAAAGUUUAACUUGAGUAGUGCUGUUGUGGGGUACACUACUUUUGUUUCUCCCAACAGAGAGUAUUAGGGAUAACAACAUCCCACUCUUUGCUCAAAAAGAGAAAAAAAAGCAUCUCAUUCAAAACCAAUUGGCAAUAAAUAAAUUUGCCAAUAUCUUAUAUAUAUCAUUUAAGAUUAUGUUUAACUUCCAAUGUAAGAUAUUGUUAUCCCUAGUUAAUUAUCUAUAGGUGUUUUUCCGAUUUUUUUGAAAUUAUGUUAUAAAUACUUGUAUAUUAUAAAAAGUUCUUGUUAUACUUGAAUUUGUUGUCAUUGUGAUACCGAGGCAUUAUUUCCUAUUUAACCAUUCUCUUCUCCCAACUUGUGAUCCAUUUUCAAUGUGGUAAAAUUCUAGAAUAAUUAUUUAUGACAUUUCUCUGAUGCGUCAAUGAGAACUAGGCGUGAAUGUAUAUAUGCGCUAACAAACUUAUCUUUUUUUUUUUUUCUCAAAACAAAUCACUAGGUGCUUUGUCGAAGAUGAGCUUCUUUGUUCUUUCAUAUUUUUUAAUUUUCUAUUAUGAUUGAAUUGCUUGUUGUCUUGAUUUUGGGUCUUGUUGUAUACUUAAAUCCUUUCUAUCCUUAAUAGUUGUAUCCAAUUAAAAAAGAAUUUAUAAGCAACUUUUUUUAUACUGUAAUCAAUUUUUCUAUUGCGCCAAUGAGAGCAUAUGCGUUAAACUCUACUG